rnacentral:rRNA from 1 species
CAGUCGCCGCGGUAAUACGGAGGGAGCUAGCGUUGUUCGGAAUUACUGGGCGUAAAGCGCGCGUAGGCGGUUACUCAAGUCAGAGGUGAAAGCCCGGGACUCAACCCCGGAACUGCCUUUGAAACUAGGUGACUAGAAUCUUGGAGAGGUCAGUGGAAUUCCGAGUGUAGAGGUGAAAUUCGUAGAUAUUCGGAAGAACACCAGUGGCGAAGGCGACUGACUGGACAAGUAUUGACGCUGAGGUGCGAAAGCGUGGGGAGCAAACAGGAUUAGAUACCCCGGUAGUCCCUGUCUCUUAUAC